rnacentral:rRNA from 1 species
AGAGUUUGAUCCUGGCUCAGGAUGAACGCUAGCGGCAGGCCUAAUACAUGCAAGCCGAACGGUAACUUGAAUAGCAAUAUUUGAGCUAGAGUGGCGUAAGGGUGCGUAACACGUAUGCAAUCUGCCCGCAACAGGAGAAUAGCUCCCCGAAAGGGGAAUUAAUACUCCAUAAGAUCACACGAGGGCAUCUGAGGGUGAUUAAACUACAAGGGGUUGCGGAUGAGCAUGCGGUUGAUUAGCUAGUUGGCGGGGUAACGGCCCACCAAGGCGAUGAUCAAUAGGGGAACUGAGAGGUUUAUCCCCCACACUGGCACUGAGAUACGGGCCAGACUCCUACGGGAGGCAGCAGUAGGGAAUAUUGGACAAUGGGCGAGAGCCUGAUCCAGCCAUGCCGCGUGCAGGAAGAAGGCCUUCUGGGUUGUAAACUGCUUUUGCCAGGGGAUAAAAAGUCCCUGCGGGGAAAAUUGAAGGUACCUGGUGAAUAAGCCACGGCUAACUACGUGCCAGCAGCCGCGGUAAUACGUAGGUGGCAAGCGUUGUCCGGAUUUAUUGGGUUUAAAGGGUGCGUAGGCGGUCUUGUAAGUCAGUGGUGAAAUACGGCAGCUCAACUGUCGAGGUGCCAUUGAUACUGUAGGACUUGAGUACAGACGAGGUAGGCGGAAUUGACGGUGUAGCGGUGAAAUGCUUAGAUAUCGUCAAGAACACCGAUAGCGAAGGCAGCUUACUAGGCUGUAACUGACGCUGAGGCACGAAAGUGUGGGGAUCAAACAGGAUUAGAUACCCUAGUAGUCC